GACAAAAGACAUGUGGUUAUAAGAUUUUACAGCCACAAAGUCCACAUACGAGGAGCUUUACAUGAAUGAACUUAUCAGGCUGUUCCUGAUCGAGUCAUCACAUUGCUACCAUACUUGGUCGUGAUUGGCUGACAUUGUUGAAGAGAUACUGAAACCCUCUGAAGCAGAACCUCCGUCCCGGGGGACGAAGCUGAAAUUCACCCUGUAGAAGAUGGGAACCAUUAUUCAGAACUGAUAAAGCCAUCUGUUGCACCUGUUUAGAGUACAGGCAGGCUAAACAGGGCUGUGACUCACCUGUCAGACCACUGGACCAUCUCACUAUCUGAUUUGGUGAGUUUUUCUCUGUGACAGAGGUCUGACCAAACCAUGCCACCA
ensembl:lncRNA